UGCCCGACCCUCUCUUCUUCCUUUAUUUUCUUCCUGCUCGAGUCUUCGCCCGCUGCUCUCCUGGACGCCACCGGCCAUGUCCUCCACCGUCGCACGCCCGCACCACCUUGCAGCCGUCCCCAUCUAGAUUCCGAUUCCAGCAAACCUUCGGGUAUACCUCUUCCCAAUGAACCAAUCUAGUUGAGGCCCUGGCAAACCCUAGGAUUGAACGCCGGCGCUGUCUCCGGUUCUCCCAAUCGAUGCUCCGGCCACCACUAGCUCCAUUUGGCAUUCUCCUCGUCCCGCAUUCUUCGCAGCCUGCGUUUCCCUUGCGCCACCCUCUGUGACUCUGAUAAAAAUAAUUAUUUGGGAGGGGGAGAGGUGGUCAGCGGCUCAGAUUUCUGUGGGGUAGUGCGCACGGCUUCGUUUUCCUGCUGCGGGUGGAGGGCGUUGCCGUGGUUGUUGUAUGGGUCGUCCGUCUCGGUCUUCUUCCUGUUUCGGCUACUAGGGCGCUCUCCGUUCAGAUUAUUGUGUUCCUUUUCCUUUGUCAUUGGCUCUAAUUUCUCUGUUUGUUUGGGAUGGUGAUGCACUGCUAUUGGGGUCGUGCUUGCAAGCCGGCAUCAUUCGAUUGGGCGUUGUGAUUUUUGGGUUGUGGCUAUUAUGGUGGAAUCUUCAUGUAGGGCAUGGGAUUCCUGAUGUUGGUGCGGUCGAUUGGGUUCUGGAUUGCGCCAAGCGCAUUCAUUGUGUCGCAUCUUCUGGUGAGGUUUUGGUGUUUACCUUGCUAUGGUGGUGGGUUGUGGGUUUCCUUUGUUGGUCAGCAGGUGGAUUUGGCUGGUGGCCUGGUGUGUGUCAGGCCAUUUUCCUUCUAAUUUUUAUUCUAUCAUGUCCAUGGCUGAGUGGUUGUAUGUGGCAGGGUUUACUUUUUGUUGUGCAGCAGAGUUUUUGGUGCAUUAAGCCAGCUGCAUGGAGUACUUGAGUUUACAAGUUUUACACAUUGUUCUGAUGCUGGAUUUCAAAGGUACUCUCUAUUGAUAAUGGCUCAGAAUAAAGAAAACAUGCAGAUGAAAAUUUCCUACAAUUGAAACUGCUCUAACUUUUAUCCCUGAAUAGCUAGCAGCUGAAGGCUUCCUUUUUUUCUUUACUGCCGAGGGAUAAUCUCAUAUCCCCAUAUAUGAAAUCUUUUCAAUUUUUCAAUGUGGUUGACUUUUCCAGUUUUCUCUUUCCUUAUGUUCCAUGUUUGACAUAUAUAGGAUGCUGAUAUUUAGCCUGCACCAAAAGUUUAAAUUCGGUCAGUACCUCUUGAUAUGUUAGGAAACAGACAUGUUGUUCCAAGCAAUACUAGAAAAUAAUGUGAAGUAUAAUAGCAUGAACCAUAGUGAUGUACCAUUAGUGUUUUCGUAUACGACUAUUUGUAGUUUUGUCACUGCCCAACAUACAAAGGUAGAGAUACAAAAGGUAGAGAUAAAAUAAUGUGAAGUAUAAUAGCAUGAACCAUAGCGAUGUACCAUUAGUGUUUUCGUAUACGACUAUUUGUAGUUUUGUCACUGCCCAACAUACAAAGGUAGAGAUACACAAGCAGAGUUGUCAUCAUGCAGUAGUAUUACUAUAGAAGCAAUAGAAAUAUAGAAAUAACAUCAACAGAGAUAGUAUCUUUUAUGUAAUCUGUACCCUUCAGUUCAAACACAAAAUGUUAUCACUAUCAAAUCGGACCAUUCAGUAGCCAUACCAUGAAAUUAUGAAACCAAUGUGCAAAUCUUACACCAACAUGACUGCAAUGAUGCAGUUGACUAACCAGGAUAGGGCUUCCUGGUUGUUGAGAAUUAAGGGAGAGCUCAUAGUAAAAUCUUUGUUAAUACUUUACACACUCAUAGUGUGAUUGGUUGGGUGUAUAAGCUUAAUUAGGUUAUGCUGAGUUUGUGCAGAAUUCUUUUUUUUCGUCACACUGAAAUCCUUGUUCCUUUUGAACCAUUGGUACAUUAUAGAUGAUUAAAUUGUAUGCCCGUUGAUAUGUGCAAAGCUUUCAGAGGAGCUGCGACGCGCAAGAAGCAACAUCAAAAGAUUAAGGUGACAAUGACAAUCCAGGAGGAGGGAGCUACAGAGGUUGACAGUGAUGACACGGGCGGCAUCAGUGCAGUUGACUACCCAAGUGGUGGAUUGAUUGUCCUUUCUAUUUGUUUAGGAAAGUGUGGUUUAUUUAAUUCAGUAUGUUCGUGGCAAUCAGUUAGUAAACUUAGUACCGUUGUGUUUAUAUCAGGCAACAAACUAUUUUCUAUGUACUGGGGCAUGAUGUGUUUAUAUCAGUCAGUUUAGCUUCCGUUGUACAACAGUACAACUCGUCUA